GAUGAACGCUGGCGGCGUGCCUAAUACAUGCAAGUAGAGCGAACAGACGAGGAGCUUGCUCCUCUGACGUUAGCGGCGGACGGGUGAGUAACACGUGGAUAACCUACCUAUAAGACUGGGAUAACUUCGGGAAACCGGAGCUAAUACCGGAUAAUAUAUUGAACCGCAUGGUUCAAUAGUGAAAGACGGUUUUGCUGUCACUUAUAGAUGGAUCCGCGCCGCAUUAGCUAGUUGGUAAGGUAACGGCUUACCAAGGCGACGAUGCGUAGCCGACCUGAGAGGGUGAUCGGCCACACUGGAACUGAGACACGGUCCAGACUCCUACGGGAGGCAGCAGUAGGGAAUCUUCCGCAAUGGGCGAAAGCCUGACGGAGCAACGCCGCGUGAGUGAUGAAGGUCUUCGGAUCGUAAAACUCUGUUAUUAGGGAAGAACAAAUGUGUAAGUAACUAUGCACGUCUUGACGGUACCUAAUCAGAAAGCCACGGCUAACUACGUG
rnacentral:rRNA from 1 species